rnacentral:lncRNA from 1 species
UACGUUUUUUUGUUAAAAGUAGAUUUAAGAACCCUUCAAGAGCUUCGGCUGGAACAUAAACAAACUGGAAAGAAUUGUGUCUGGUGCAUGUCACAGAUUAUGAUUCUGCCAUGACAGGAAUGCCUGUAACUGGUCCUUUACACUACAGUUGAAGGCCCCAAGUUGGGGUUUCAAGGUUGCUGGUCCAGACAAGAAGGCUGAGGCAUGCUGUCCGUAGGCACUGGUAAAGAUCCCUAGAAAUGUUGUUGGGCUACAAGGCUGUUGUUUGAGUCCAGUAUAUGGACUUUCUAAGGCCUAAGCUCAUAAAGUUGAUAUGGACUUCGAUGUUGUGCUGUGUAUGAAGGUCCAACUAUGGGUUAAAAUUCUGCUUUUGAACCACACUAUACUCCUUAUCCAUAUUUGCAUUUGGUUGCUUUAGACAUAUUUUUGGCUAUGUCUUUAAAACAUUUUUUUGUUUAAUGUACAAGGAGAUCUAUUUAUUCGCUAAUUUACUCGCUUCUCAGUCAGUCUCUUAGAUGAUAACAAGCUAAAAGGGCCAGAAAAGCUUUACUGAGUUGGCGUCCAUGGUGGACCUAUUGUCUAAGACUCUUUUUCACUUCUUUUUUUUUUUUUUUUUUUU